AGGUCCAUUCUAAUUCCCUGCAGGUCAGUGCCAGUACCUGCUGGGUUUCGCUUGUGGACCACAUUAAACUGGAAAACUUAAGCAUGUAUGAGCUUAUUGGUAUCUGCUCGUGACAUAGUUUUCUGGACAUCU
rnacentral:snoRNA from 1 species